rnacentral:lncRNA from 1 species
CAGGGGAGUUUGUAAGGCACAGAAAAGAACUUGCAAACUGAGAACAUAACACAGGUGGUUGAGAUUUUGCAGGGAUUGGGAGCUAGAUUAUUAAAUGCACUUGGCACAUCUCUGUACCUGCCUAGAGGGAUUUUCCAAAGCAACAUGAAGUAACAGAAACAUGCCAUUCUUUUUACCUAAGUUUGGAUGUCUGAUCAGCUAACUAACUAGUCUCUCUCUGGAAAGAGAUAAGAACUUCCAGAUUUCAUUGCAUGGAAAGAUAGGUGCAUGAGACAAAGUGGGUUGGAAUUCAUUUCAUUGUAUGAAGAAAGAAAGACAAAAUUAAUUUGAGGAAACCCCUGCUUGUAUUUCUACCAUUAAGACAAAAAUGUGGAAUUGUGUAAUUCGGAGAUGAUGGGAAGACUACAGUUGUCAAAACACAUUUUUUUCUGCUAGAUGGUGGUUAUCUUUUUCCUAGUGGCUUCUGACCCUGGCCUCCUGUCCUACUCAUACUGAUUAUCAGCCAGAUGCUUACUGCCAUGCCUACUAUCUAUGAGUAGACCUAGUUGAAGAAAAAUACAAAUCCAGGCAAAGGUUGGCAUACAUGUCAAGAGAACAUUCUCCAGCUGGGGCCUGCAGUAUAGAGAAUUGUAUACUCCAGAGGGCUCAUGGGACCUUGGGCAGAUUAUUAUGGUAAUAUUGGAGACUGCUGUCCUUUCCCUCCCACAGCUGGGCCGCCUCUCUCAUUAAACAUUAACAUAGAAGUCAGAUAAAGAUUUGUAUGGCAUCAUUGAAAAUAUGAUUUCUACUUACAAAAUAAAGAGAAAUUACCAUGGAAUGAUGUGGUGACUUUGACUUUUUCAUCUCUCAUGGAAUCAGAGGUACCUAACUGAUUAGCAUUCCAGAAGCUGGAGGUACACAAAUGGUCCUACAUACUUGACAGCGGAUGUCGAGAUGGCAUCACCAUCAAAAUUUGAAGAGAUCUUAUAUAUAACUUCUGUGAGCCAUUACAUAUUGCAUUCAUCAGUUCAUUAAGGCUCAGGAACCAAUGUAAAUGGGUGGUUAUGGCAGAACCAUUGUUCUGGGACUAGAUUAUCUUUCCUGUCCAUAUUAGCUUUGUGAUCAAUUUAGGGUUUGUUUUUUUUUUUUUCCAUUUCCAACUCUGUUACACUCAAAAAAAGGUGAUGAGAAACUUGAAAGCCACUCACCC